UACGUAGGGUGCAAGCGUUGUCCUGAAUUAUUGGGCGUAAAGAGCUUGUAGGCGGUUUGUCGCGUCUGCUGUGAAAUUUCGGGGCUCAACCCCGAACUUGCAGUGGGUACGGGCAGACUAGAGUGUGGUAGGGGAGACUGGAAUUCCUGGUGUAGCGGUGAAAUGCGCAGAUAUCAGGAGGAACACCGAUGGCGAAGGCAGGUCUCUGGGCCAUAACUGACGCUGAGAAGCGAAAGCGUGGGGAGCGAACAGG
rnacentral:rRNA from 1 species